GAUGAACGCUGGCGGCGUGCCUAAUACAUGCCAGUCGAGCGAACAGACGAGGAGCUUGCUCCUCUGACGUUAGAGGCGGACGGGUGAGUAACACGUGGAUAACCUACCUAUAAGACUGGGAUAACUUCGGGAAACUGGAGCUAAUUCCGGAUAAUCUAUUGAACCGCAUGGUUCAAUAGUGAAAGACGGUUUUGCUGUCCCUUCUGGAUGGAUCCGCGCCGCAUUAGCGAGUUGGUAAGGUAACGGCUUACCAAGGCAACGGUGCGUAGCCGACCUGAGAGGGUGAUCGGUCACACGGGAACUGAGACACGGGCCAGACCCCUACGUGAGGCAGCAGUAGGGAAUCUUCGGCAAUGGGCGAAAGCCUGACGUAGCAACGCGGCGUGAGUGAUGAAGGGCUUCGGAUCGUAAAACUCUGUUAUUAGGGAAGAACAAAUGUGUAAGUAACUAUGCACGUCUUGACGGUACCUAAACAGAAAGCCACGGCUAACUACGUG
rnacentral:rRNA from 1 species